UCUGAUGACUUACCAGAACCUCUUCUCGUAACUGUCCCAGAGGCGCAGGGAGCUGGUUGAGGGCUUUGUCCAUGCCGACCUAAAGGCAAAAUCAUGUUGCCACAAGCACAUCACAGCAAGGGGUUCCCUUCAUCUUGGAUGCAUUCGUCUGUGCAGAGAAAACUGCUACCUAGAUGGGUCCUGCUGCAUAUGGCAGGUCAAUCACUACCACCCCAGCCAGUCAGAGCGAGUCUGCAUGCAGCAAGUGGGUCUCUGCCUCUGGGCCUCCAUGCCUACACAGCCAUCCCACACAGCCAUCCUCUGGGGCUCUGACCUCAGCGCUGCCACCACUCCAGCCUCUGCUCUGCUCUCCUGCAGCCUCGCCGUCGCCGCCGUGUCACCGUGUCACCCAGAGCACUGGGUGGAGCUCUUUCUAUAGAGUCAAUAGCAACAUAUUGCCCACAUGAGUGGUGAGCUAGCCGACUAGGCCCAGGUGAGAAUCCUGGCCACAGGAACUUUCAUUUUAUCCACACUUAACACAGUCUUUAGCGAACAUACAAUAACUCAGCCCACCUUGGAGGCAGGGAGGGCAGUCUUAACUGAUAUGCUCCCCAACCAGGAAGCUGCUCUCCUGGUGGGAAUCCAUCAGAGCAGGGCGUUUCUUGUGUUAAGCUAAUUUUGCAUAAUGACCGGGAGGGCUGAUAAGAAACUUCGUGUCUCAUCUUGAGACCACUUCACAGGUCCACACCCCUAGCCCUUUGUCACAUUCCUGAAAAUUCCUUCCAAGGGGGAGCCCCCACCCUUUCGGUGCGCCUCCCUCUCUGAGGUAGCCCACACUCCCCUCUCUCUGAGUGUGCACUUUCUCUCUGUAAAUAAAACUUUUACAUGU